rnacentral:rRNA from 1 species
UACGGUGGGGGCAAGCGUUGUUCGGAAUUACUGGGCGUAAAGGGUUUGUAGGUGGCCAACUAAGUCAGACGUGAAAUCCCUCAGCUUAACUGGGGAACUGCGUCUGAUACUGGUUGGCUUGAGUGCAGGAGAGGAAUGCGGAAUUCCAGGUGUAGCGGUGAAAUGCGUAGAUAUCUGGAGGAAUACCGGUGGCGAAGGCGGCAUCCUGGACCGGCAUUGACGCUGAUGAGCGAAAGCUAGGGGAGCAAACGGG